rnacentral:lncRNA from 1 species
UGACUUCUAUUCAUCCCUCAUCAUCAUUACAGCCUCACUUCUCUCUCUCUCUCUCUCUCUCUCUCUCUCUCUCCCUUCACUUUUGUUCCCCACCACAUCAUGAUGAUAAUGAUGAUGAUAAUUCAUCAUCUCCAUCUUCGUCGUCUUCUUCUCCUUCUUCUUUCUCUUCACCUCCCAAGUCCCAAUACCAAAGAAGAAGACAUAAUCACACAAACCCAAGAUCAAGAAUCCCAAGAAAAAGAAGAAGUUGUUGAUUAUCAUCAUCAUCAAGAUUUUAAGAUUAGGGUUUGCCUCAUCUCUCUCUACUUUUUCAUAUAGAUCGAUUCUUGAUCAUCAUCAUCAUAUAUCAUCAUCCACGUGUGCGUACGAGAUCCGAAAGGGGAAUCAAGCGUCUCGGUCCGAUCCUUCGCUGUUUUAAAGCGAUCUUCAUCUCGAUAAUAUCAUCAAAUCAAGUGUGUCUUUGUUACAUCUCUCUUUUCUUUAUGUGUGUCUUUUUAUUUUGACUACCUUUUGUGUUUUCUCUUGGCUUCACAACUACCUUUUGUUCUUCUAUUUGCUUCUUUUUCUCCUCUAGAUUUCUCUCUUACCACGAUGGUGUUUUCGUUUGGCUUAUUUAGAUUUAUGAAGCUACAUGUAUCACUAUGUUCUUUUUCAAAUUAUGUUCAAGAAGUUAAACUCCAUAUUAUAUGAUGGUUAUUUACAUUUUGGGAAAACUUCAGUUCCGAUGUAAUCAAUCGCUCGAAUCAUGAAUAAUACAACACAAGGUAAAUUAAAUCUUCGAUAUGGGAAGGUAUUUAACAGUUUAUCAUAGACUAUGAUAUACAAAUAAAAAUGUGUAUAUAAUAUGUGUAUAUGAUGAAUUUGUGUGUUGGGAUAGGGAUGUUGUUAACUACUGAUCCAUGUAAACACAAUAACCGUGGUGGAUGAU